rnacentral:lncRNA from 1 species
AGCUUUGAUAGAGAGGACAGACGCCUCGUUAUUCCAGCAGACCUGGUAUUGUUCUUCAAUUCUUAAUCCCAACGACUACACGGAUCUCUAUUCACCAUCCAGCUCAAAGAUUCCUAUUCACCAUCCAGCUCAAAGAUUCCUCUUCACCAUCCAGCUCUAUUAAACACCAGGUAUGUCUCCUCAAAUCUUGAGCUAUUUCGAAGGUUAUGAUUAACAAAGGGAAGUGUGCGAUUAACUAACCCACUAGAUUCAUCUUUUCGUUUUUUGGUCGAAUAGAUUUAUCUAUUUGAAUUGUUCUCUUUCUUGAAAAAAAAAAUAUUCUGUUGAAUAUGCAACUUGUUUCCAGUCAAGCACAGAUAACUUAAAAGGAAUGAACAAUAGAAAGAAAUUCAAGAGAAUAAUUUAACAAAAAUCGAUUGUUUCAACAUCCAAUCGUACAACACACCUUUUUCACUGCGUUCAUGGAUGGUUGCAGAAGCCUCUGAUUAUAAGAUGCAAGACAUACAGAACAAAACAUCACAACACUAAUGGUCAAGACGCAUUUCACAAUCAUUAGGUGAAUAUAUCUUUUCAACACAACAAUAACCUCCUACAGACAACAAAUAGACAUCUUAGAUUGCAUGAGAUCAGCUUGCAACUCUAAAACCAACGAAAACUAAAUGUUUGGUUGCUUUUGAUGUUCUCGUUAGAGCCCGUAGUCUUCCUUCUCUUAAGUGAAAAUCCAAGCAUCACAUCCAUUUCCUGAGGCUUACUAUUACAUUUUAGUCCAUGUCGUCUCAAUCCCUUCAACGUAUGGGAUGAUAUUGUGUGAUACCACGUUUUGGUGGCAAUUUCCGAAGAAUGAAAAGAACCAAUGAAGAUGGUACAAUCUCCACCAGCUGCAACGAAAAGUAUGUUGAAGUUAAGGGUUGCGCAAAAAAUAUCUACGUCACAACAAAAUGAAUCGCCUAGCACCUUCCUAGUACAAUUUUAUAACAGAACAUUCUAUAAAAUUAAAGUUCUCUUCUUCUGCAAGCAUCAAGUGUGACCAAGAACCAAAACUUACCAGGUAAUAUAUGAAGUUUAGAAUUGGAUGAUCCAAUACAUCAAGAUUUGCAGCUUUAUCAAAUGCAUUGAAGCACAUCUGGUACAUAGGAAAAUGACAGUACAAGCCAAUGUUAAAUGAACUUCAUUCAGAAGAACAAAGACAUCAGAAACAUAGAUGCGACUCUUAUGACUGCUGCCAAAUAAAUAGCUUGAAUAACAGCCAACUUAUUGCUAAUGAUAAUACAACUCGGUGACAGUUGUGCAACCAAUUUAUGAAUUUUUCAAGUUGUCAUUUAGCUAACCACUAGCUUUGAAAAUACUUCCAUCAAAAUUUUGCAAGCAAAAAUACAAACUCACCAUAAUGCAUCUAACCAGGAAGCAUGAGAAACAUAUGGUGGUCACAUAGCCAACCUGUCCAGAAGAAAAGCAAAAACAACACUUGACAACUAACAAAAGUGUAAACAGGUGAGUAUAAUAAGUCCAAUUACUAUCCAAACAAAAAAUACCUCUUGCAACUUCUUACGCCUCCCUUUAGAUUCUACAGGGAACCGCUGCAACAUCAAGAAAAGCCUACCACAAGAUGAAGUUAAGAUAUUACAUCAGAAUGCCAUCUAAUUAUUAGAGGCAAGCAGAGAUGCCAAUGCAUACAGUUAUCAGAAGAACACAGCUAAUUGAACCAAUAUGAAGGUAUUACAAUACAUUCCCCUUUAAACUUAGAUGUCCUCAAAAUGACCCCAAUGGGCCUACUGUUUCAUCUUAGCAUAACCCAUAACAUGCUAAGAGAUUCAAGAAACCACUUCAUAGGCAAACCUUGACCUUGAUUAAGACCAGCUAUAAAAUACAGUCUGACAAUCUCAAGGACACAAAUGAAAAGAAUAUAUGCCAGUCAGAUUCUCUUGCUAGUCUCACUGGACCUGGUCUGACCAUUCUCUUGUUGUCUUGCUUUCUACCUUGGGUUUCUUUUUCUCUUUUCCCCCUUCUGCUGUGAUGGAAUAUGAUAGAAAAUAGAGGGAGUAAUGGGCUACUCAAGAAGUGUCUUUAAGUUCCCCUCAACCAAAUGACACUGACAGUAGUAGUGAAAAAUAUAAUACAUGCCUUGACAAUACUGCAUUAAGCAACAAGUAAAAGCUUAAAAAAAUCUACUGAACUCACUUUGUUAGGCAAAUCCCAUCAGAUCAAACUCAGAUGUACUCAGCAUACAUAACAACCGGGAAUUUGUCUCACAUGCAAGGAAGACAUCAAAAUACCUCUUCCCCUAAGCAAAUAGAUAAUUAAUGAAGAAUACAAUAUAACUCUCAAAGGGGAUUUAAACAAUUCUCAAUUUUUUAUUAUUCCUCAAAAUCAAUUGUCAGUCAUAUCCUAUCUAAAGACAAAGAAGUUAUAGAUAUUUUCAGUAGACUUGUGAAUCCUAUUAGUCCUAGAACUUGGGGGGAAAUAAAAUAACAACAAUGCUAAUAACUUCCUUAGUAUGACGAGUUACUACUUCCUAAAUAAUAAUUGAUAUCUUAAACUUCCAAAUAUUAAAAUUAGAAAUUAAAGAUAUUAAUAAUAACUCUGAAGUUAAAGAGGUCUUGAAGAACAUAAAAGAUAGGAUGAGCCUGUGGCCCAAUGGUCCUUAUAUGGAAGUGCUUUGGAAAGGUUCAAGUUUGGCUAACCAAGCUAUACAAUGGCAUGCUAAAAUAGAAAAGAAUAAAAAAAGUAAAAGAGGAGCACUUUAGUUCCUGCUAUUAAGAAUAAAUGAGGAGCACUUUAGUUCCUGUUAUUAAGAAUAGAAGGAGAUAUUCAGAGGUAUAUAAACUAAAUGAGAAACGAUAAACUUUGAGAAAUUGAUUACAUGCAGACAUGGGACACUACUAAAGUGUUGAAGAACCAUUUGACUUUAUGCCUAGUAGAUCCAUAGUUUCAAAUCACGAUAGCAGCUGCAUUUGCAGGUCGUGGUUGCAGGCAUUGGAGAACAGGCUUGUAAUGGCUAUCACAUAACAUUAACGGCCAAACACAAAACAUUUUUUAAUAAGCAUAAAUUAGUUUGAGAAGGUAGCAAAUAGCAAAACUUAUUAUCUUCUAACUGUUAAAAACAUAUUUUUAUCAACAAAAAUUAUAGCUUAAAUUUUCCAUUUUUUUCAACUUCCUAUUUCAUUAAAAAUGUUGUACAAUAACUAAAAUAAGUAUUAAAUCUAAAUUCAAGAUUUAAACUUACUAUUAAAUUUAGAAGUUCUAAACUUAUUAUUAAAUUUGCUUAUCCGAAGUCUCAAAUUAUACUUGGCAUUGGCAGAACUUAAGAUUUUAUUAUAUAAUUAAUAAUGUAAAUUAAUAGAAUAGCAAAUAAUGAAAAGAAAUUUAAAAAAAUAUUAAAAAAAAAACAACACAACUUUUACAAAAACCACAUGCAGAAUACAGACAUUUAUGGUAAUUCCAAACUUAAAAGGAGAGGUUGAAGAAUUAGGAGGAGAAAUUUGAAUAAAAUUUUGAGAAGGUAGAAACUACUGCUUUGGACGGCUGCUCAGAAAUGAAAAGGAAGAGAACAGUGAGGCGAAUGCAUUAUUAGUAACAGCUGAUACCUACUUAAUAGGUAAGGGACUACUUGAAAACCAAUAAAUAAUGGUCAUUACAUGAAGGAUCUACAACAAAGCCUGUAAUUUUAGUAAAAAGAUUUAACGGGAAAUAUAUAAUGGAAAAAGGAUUUGCACAUGGUGAUCAUUGACCUAGAAGAAAGCAUACUAAUGUACCUAAGAUAAUUAUUUUGUGGGUGCUAAGGGAGAUACAAGCCAAUCUCAAAGAGGAGACAGACAACUAUAAGGCAUCAGGAGGGGACAGAAGAGUUUCUCACAACAGUGGACUUACAUUAGGGAUAGGCAUUGAAGUCAUCUUAGUUAUGGAUGAGCUGACCAGUCACAUUCAAGAUGAUAUCCAAGGUGCAUGUUAUUUGCAAAUGGUAUAAUCUUAGUGGAUUAUACUAGUGGAGUUGAUGAAAAGAUGAAGAUAUGAAGGACUCUUGCAAGCGGGCUUUAAACUAUAAAUAACAUUAAGUAUAUGCAAUGUGAGUUUAGCUCCCACAAACAAAACGGAAAUGAGAUUCAUUUGGAUAGAGUUUUUGGUGGCUAAAUGCUACCAAUUCAAGUAUUAAGUGUCUAUCAAGGUCAAUACAGGAUGGAUGAAACGGAAGAAUGAGACAGGUGUAUUAUGUGACUAUAAGAUCCUUAACAAAGCUUAGAGUAAGUUCUGCAGGACUAUGGUUAUACUAGCUAUGUUGAAUGGAAGUAGAGGUGAUCAUUUGGUUAUUUUGGUUCCAAACCGUACCAAAUUUGAUAUUGAUUCAGACUUGGUGUCUAACACAUCAAUCCGUGAAAAAUGAUCCAUACAUCCAAUCUCAACUAGUUUAGGAUUAAGGCUUAGUUGUUGUUAUCUAACAAUCCUAAUUUUAAAAUAUAAAAUUGAAUAAAAAAUUUAAUUAAAUCCUCCUUGACUCCAUCAUUAUCUCCUGAUUUGAAGAAACUCAAUCUCAACCCUUUUAGUGUUAAAGAAAAAAGAAUUGAAGUUGUUUUCCUUCACAUCCUUAGAAAUAAUAGAACAUAGUUAAUCCAUCACAAGACUAAAGUUGGAAGACUAAAUUCACUAAGAACACGAGAAUUAGAUAAGUCCUUAAUUUCCAUUGACUUCUUGACAAUGUGUUUUUCUUCUUCCCUUAGGAUCAAAGCCUCAAACUCUUGCUCAUUCACAUCAAUUCUCUGUAAUAUGUUUCUCAAAAUUUUACAACUCAAUCUUAUCACCUUGAUUUCAACAUGUAAAGCUCAAAAAUUAAAGCUUUAGACUCUUCAAGUUGCUCUUCAAGCUCUUCAUUAUCAAAUUCUUACUCGGUCUUUUUAGAGUUGUAAUUAUAUUCUCAAGAACUAAUAUAGCAUGUGGAUCAGCCUUGAGUUUAGAGUUGAAAAAUCAAAAUUAGUGAGGAAGGGUUCUGCAUAAGAUCUGUUGACAUGGAACUGACAUGGUAUCUACAAGCACACUGAACAGCAACAUGAAAUUCAGCAGCUUCCAAGAGGAUCAGACUUAAGUUUCCUAAAUAAAAAUAGAAUGCUUAAACUUCCCACAAAAUAAAAAUAGAAUUCUUAAACUUCCCACCACUAAAAUUUCUAAAUUAAAGAUCAUAAAUUUACAAUUAAAAAGAAUAACUUAUAAGAAUGGUUGCUAAACUGAAUCUUCCUUGACUCAUCAAUAAGCUACUAUUGAAUUGUGAUCUAAAAAUAAUAAGCAACUAAGUCUACAUCCAUUUAGAUCCAUUUUAGAUAUUUACCCAAGGUAAUCCAACCAUGCAGCAUAAUAUGAUUAUCACAAACUUGGCCAAUAAUCUUGACAUGGCGUUAAUUUUUCCACAUGGCAUGGCAUCACAAGGGAAUUACAGUCACAAGUAAAAAUUGAGUAUAAGAAAUUGAGCAACUAUGUUCUAUGUAGGUUGACUGGUACACCAAAAGGACAAUACCAGAAACAUGUAUUUGUUAAAUGGUGAUAACAUAGAACUAAGAUUUCCUGAAACUUAGUGUCUAGGGAGAGAAAUUUAGUCUUCAGAAGCUAAAAACAUAAUAUUGCUCAUGGGCCUUUUGUCAAGCAAAUAAGUUCUCUUUGGCAUACUUAGAAUAAGAAAAAACCACCAUCUUCUAAGUAUGCAAAUCCAUAAAUGAUAUUACCAUAUUGCAUGCAAUAGAAUUCAUUUAUUGAAGUUUAAAAAAAAUAUUUACUGAAUGAGACAAUCAUUUGUGCAUUGUGACCAAAAAUCAAAAUCAAGCUAUGUAGUAGGUAAAAUGGAAAUAUAAUUUAAAUUACCUUCCACCAUAAAGUAGAAAACCAAGAGCUGCAAACAAAGACACCCCUGCCAAUAUAUACAUGUAAGAACAAAAUAUGUUAGUUAAAAGGAUGAUGAAGUAUUGAACUGUAACAAGUUAUUGAAUAUCUGGAUUCUAGAUAUAUGGAAAAUAAAAAUAAAAAUAAAAUAAAAAAGCACCUGCAAAGAACAUCUUAGAGAUGAUGACCAGCAAUCGGGUAUCUUUCCACCAUAAAAUCAACCACAUAACAAUCUGGAAUAAUUAAAUCACAAUAAUUAAGGUUGAAACCCAGUAGUUUUGUCUAAGAUAGCAACACAUAAGCAUUCCAUGAAGCAUGCAACUGAAAAUGUAUCAACCAAGCAAUUGUUUGAAAGGAGGACCUGCAAGGAGAAUGUAUUGCCAGGAUAUACCAAGUAGAAAGUCAACAAUGCAUCACAGAAAAUUCUCAAACCUUCAAGUAAUCCUAUGAACAUUACCAUUAAAAAAGUGAACUGAUCCCAUAUUUUCAAAUUCCAAACCAUUUUUCAACUGUCUGCAAAACUGUAAGAUAAAGGGCAGGGAAACUGGAUGAUAAACCAGUUUGCAGCAUGAAGCAUGCUGAAGUGCAAUCCCAGGCCCAACACAUUGUCAUUGUCAUUGCCAGACUAAAGGUGAUCGAACAAGAUGAUUGAUUAGCACAGAAGUGCCAUUUCCUUCAAAGUAUUCUUAUGACAGCUUAAAAAUACUUUGAAAUACAACUUCUUGUGAAUAUUUGAAUUUUGAAGUAUACAGCUGUGUUUUACAUAUCUAUAAGGAGAUGCAGUGGGAUACUGUAAUAGCGGAAGUUAUUGCUAAAGCAACUACUAGCCAUAACUUAUGCAUCUACAAGGUUCUUGUACAUUACUUUCCUUGGUUUUGAAACACAAAGAAACACCUUAAGAAGUCCAUAGCAACCCUUUUAUUUGGUACUAUCAUUUGAAACUGUCUUCAUUUAUACAUGUUUGAGGUAUGGCACUAAAUUAUUUUAUCUUCUCCUCCAUUUCUUAUCACUUUUUGCCACUCUAAUCUAAUAGCAGGAUUUUUUAUCGUUCUAUUUCUUUAUUUAGUACAAUCUAUUAGUUUCUUCUAGUGGCUACUUAAAAUCUAAGGAAAUCCAUUUCCUCAAUUCUUUCAGUUUCCGACUUUGCUGCCAGAUUCCGUUAUUAACAAUUUCACAUUGCUGGAAGUAGCCUAAAAAUUCCUGCUUUUCUCUGAUACCCUGUAUUACAUGUUGUAUUAGAGCUUUUGCCGCAUUAAUUUUUCACAACCAGCUAACAGACAAAAGGAGCAUAAUAAUGCUAAAAGGUAAGAAUAAAUUUAUAUAGAGAGCAAGACUGGCUUGAAAAAUAAGCCUUUAUUGAACUUGGUGGGUAUAACAUGAUAAAAUGUAAUAAAAUAUUAAUUCAACAGAAAAAUGAAGAGAUCUAUCUUAAUAGACCCCAAUACAAUCAACAAACAAGUUUUUAUUUCAAAAUAUGGUUCUUAACUUGCAUAAAGUAAUGAACACACACAAAACAUAUCAGAUGAUCAAGCCUUGAGGCUUGAGUUCAUAAUUUUAUAAUGAUUUAUGCCAAAACUACGCAAAUUUUCCACUGCAACGCUGGACAAGUUAACUAGCAACAAGCAAGUACCAUCUACGAGGAUAUUCAGAAUAUUAUUUAGUUUAAUUCUUAGUUUCAUUGUAACAACCUACUGAUGUAGGAAUUAUUAGGGAUUUUAGGACUGUUUAUUUUAGGAAGAAAUAUUUUACUUAGAUAUUUAUGUGAUUUGUAGUUCCUAAUAAGUAUUGAAUUUAGGUUUCAUAAUCCUAACAUGAGUGAAAUACUCUACACAUUGGCCUAGUUUUUCCACAUAUUCUGGAAGCCUUUUUUAUCAGAACUGAUAUGAGCUAAAGGUCUCUACCGACCGAGAAUUUGUUUCUUACACCAUUGUUCUGCUCGUUCUAUCAAUUCCUCAUCACCUAUUCUUCAUUCCUUGCAUAUUAUAUUGCAGGUAACGAAAAUAGGCCUAUAACUAUGCAAAAUUCUCAAAAUUCAUAAAAUUAAUAAAUAUUUAAAGAUAUAAUCAAACUAACCAUUUACACAAUAGCACUUCAAAACAAUUUAGUAUCUUGGAUGAUUUGAGCUCUUCAACUUAAGAAUUUAUUGAGAAGUAGAUUAAAAGCACUUGAAGAAUCUUGAAGUUGAGAGAAAUUUUGAGAAACUUGAGAGACAGUUGAGAGAAAUCAAAGAAGGGUGAAUUUUGUCUAGGAAGGCAAGUGGAAGGCUUCAAAAUGUGAAGAAAAAAGUGUCUUCUGCCUUCAAUAAUUCAUACACUACAUGCAUGCAGUCUCCAGCAACAAUUCUAAAGGUUCCAACCCAUCAAAUGAAAGUAUCGGCCAUUAUGGCCAUUAAGUCACGACCUGUAACAGUUGUGACCGUUGUGUAAUGGCUGUAAUGGACGUUAUCAACACAAAUUUUUUCUCAUCUUGAAAUAAUAGCCUUAAUGGCCAUGGCUCCUUUGAAAACCUUUAAAUAAUGGCCUUUGUUUAAAACCAUGAUUAUGGAAUGAAGAAUCUUAAGGCAUAGUUACCUGAGUUGUAGUACUCUUAAGUCGUGGUACAAGUAUACUAAAUUAGGUAUGCAAUACACCAACUAAUGAAAUAUAGGAUACACAGCGGUACACUUAAUUGAUUUGCUACGACGGUCUUAGUUGGUAAGCCAAUAAUUUGGAGCAUAUAAAUUACAUUUAUUCAAUAUAAUAUAAUUUUUAAAUAAAUUAAAUAUGUGAUUAAUAGUUUAUAAUAUUUAUAUUUUCUACAAAUUUUUAUUUUUAACUAAUAAAAUAGUCAUUUACACUCCAAAACCAAGAUGACAUUGCCAAUUAUUCUACUAACAUGCAAAUCCACCAUCCCACUUAGUGUUUCAAAAUGUAUCUUCUUAUUCUUCUUCCUUUGCUGCAGCCUUUUUUUUCCUCCUCUUCAUCUUGUACCUAUAUACUAUUGCGCACAUGCAUAUUUAUUGAUCUUUCUUCCUUCCUUCCUUUCCAUCUUUAAUUCCUCAUUGGAACCUUUAUUUGGGCAACUUAGAUCGCAUACCCAGUGAUUUUGGACAUAAAAGUACUAUGUUUCAGUACACAACCAAGAUUGCAAUUUCCCAAGGAGGUGAGAGAAUUUGGUAACCACGCCUCUAAGGAGUCUGUUAAAUAAGGUAAGCCAAUUGGAUUUGGCUCAUGUAAGUUCCCCAUACAUGCUACACCUGCUCUCAUGAAAUAUGAGAAAAAGUUCAAUGUAAAAUACAUAGCCCACUAAAGAAGAAAACACUGAAGUACAACUUCCCCAUCCCUAUUCCCUAGGGCUAAAAUAUUAGAUUUGUUAGUUAGUUGCUACUAUCUUUCCAAGUAAAUUUUGUUGUCUUCCAACUCUUGAUUCCCUUUUAACCAGGGAAGUAAAAAAAUUUGCAUUGGCUUUAGACUCCACAAAGCCUAUGCAAAUACCAACUCAAGAAGAAGACUCGCAUUCACUCCUCUCUUUAACACUAACUCCCCUCUAGAAACAAUUUCUGAUUUGUUAAUCAAACAAUAUAGUUUUAACUAAUAAUUUCUAAAAUUUGAAAGUUCUUACCAGAAUCAAGAAUUAUAAUAGGGGUUAAGGAGGAUAAAGUCCCUAAACAAUAAAAUACAAUACAUGAAAGAAUCUACAAGGUUAUUUGCAUUUUAUAUUGUUUGUGGGUGAAACUAGUGAAUAAGUUAAUCAAAAGUAAGGAGUUGCGGAUAACAACUCUUGAGAUUUAGGGUUUUGGGCUAAGUAAAAGUAAGACAAUACAUAUGCAUUACAAACAGAACAUAUGCAUUACACAUUUCGCUCUUAUAAAAGGAAUGGAAGGGAAAUUCAACUGGAUAGCUUUUAGUUCCAAAUGCAACUAAUUCAAGUAUUCAGGUUCUAUCAUUUAGAAAUAUCAAAUAAUAAAUGAUGAUGUGUUAUAACUAUUAGGAUCAAAAGGAGGUAGAUUAAAUCGAGGAACAUGAAGGGUAUAUGACACAAUGGUACGAUCAUUGAUAAAGUGAAAGGUACGGACUGAUUGUUGAGCACCUAUAGUACAAUAUAUCUACAUGAUAAGUGUGACAAAAAUGCAAUUGUUAAGAUGGAUUUUUGGUCUUACAAUAAUGAAUGAGAAAAAAAAUAAAUGACCAUAUUCACUAGAGAGUGCAUAUUGCAAACAUCAAGCAUAAAAUGAAGGUGUUUAAUAAAAUGAUUUGAUCAUGUUCAACAUAAAGAACAAGAUAUUCCAAUACAAAAAGUGAUAAAUUAGUGAUGGAAGGAGCAAGGAGAGAGAGGGGAAGAAACCUAAAAUGGUGCAAAAGGAAAUAGUAUUGAAGGAUAUUAAUGGAAAAUUGGUAUAAAAGAAAGUUGAAUAGCAAAAAGAAAAGAUUCAUAUAACCGACCCCAACCAGUUUGAGAUUAAGCUUAGUUUUAGUUGUUGGAAGUCUUUUAGAGCCUAUCAUGUUAGAUAAUACCACCACCAUAGGAGCGAAUAUUUCACUAAACAAUAAAGUGUAUUCUCUUUACUUUGACGCAAACUUGAAUGAAAAUGAAAAUUCUCAAAUUAUUAAAUUUGGAAAAUCAUACUAGACCCGUCCCAAAAUCAACAAAGCCAACAAUUAAUGGACGAAUGUAGAUGCCAUUGUAGUCGGUGCAAUAUCAAGCUUUGCUACUAUAAAUCCCUCUUUACUUGUCUUGAUUGUUUGAAUGAGAGUAAAAGACAAGGAUUCUAAGAAUAGGGCCCCGUGGUUGCCCAAAUUGUUUCUUUGACAAAGGCCACUGGAUCCACUGCACCAAGAAAAAAAUGCAGAGGAAAAAUAGAUAAUAGAGAGCAAAAGCUUAAAAAGAGAGUUGUAGGGAGAGGGAGGAGGCAACAAGAGCAAUAUGAAAUGCAUACAGCGAAGCAAACAAAUCCCUUGUGCUAGAAUCCAAUCGGGAAUCCGAUAUUACUCGUGUUGCAGUGCCAACGGUAAAAAAAAAUUAAAAUUAAAAAAGCCACAUAUUUUACUCUUUAAAUUUUUCAAACACAUUAUAUGAAUUACUCACUUUCUCUAACUCUUUGAAUUACUCACGUCCUCUUAACUCUUUCAAACACAAUAUUUUACAUCCAUUGUGGUUUUUUAAUUAUUUCCAUCAUAUUUUUUUUUACACUGUGACACUGCCACGUAAGAAUAUUGCCAUAGAGCUUACAAUAUUCUAGCACGAGGGAUUUUAUUGUAACAUUUUAGAAGUCUUAGGAUUUUGUAAUAUCAAAAUGAAGAUAGGUGACGAAGGUGCAAUACUCUCCAAAGUUGAGGGAUAGCUAGUAAAAAUUACUCAUCCAAAACAUAGAAAGCGAAGACAAUGUUAUGCAUAAUCUAUGGUGAAUAAAGGUCAGUAAUAAUCCAAGCAAUAAAUUGAUGAGCAAUUAAAUGCGCAAGUUAAUUUUUAUUGGGUUAUAAUACAAUGCAAAAAUGGAGGGGAAAAUUUGUGUAUUUUCAGUGUUGUUAAAGGAGACACAGGCGCCUUUCAAAAGGAGCUCGCCUUGCCUCGCGAGGUACUAGGCGCCAAGCGGUCGAGGCGUCACCUAGCACCGCAUGCUUUUUUUUUUUUUUCUUAUUUUAAAGGAUUUUAAAAUUAAAACCCAAAAUUCUUCUUCUCCCAAUACCUUCUUUUGCCUUCUCCAAACAGCAGCCAGCCAACACACAGCCUUCUCCAAACAGCAUCCAUCAUCCGACACCAGUCCACAAGUAUGAGUCUUGUCUCCUUUUCUCUUUCUUCUUCUUACUUCUCCGCCCUUCUUCUCUGGAUCUCCUUCUUCUUCUUCGCCCUUCUUCUCCGGAUCUCCUCCCUUCCUUCCCUCUCAUUAUUCUCCUCCCCACAUCAUUGUCUCCACUCCCCAACCAAUCUCCAAACAUAAUGGGUGUUGUUGUGAAUCUUAUUUUUUAUUUAGAAAUUAAUUAUAAUGGGGGUUGUUGAUUUUGAUUUGUUGUUCAUUUAUUUGUGAGAAUUAUUGUUUAUUUAUUAAGAACAAUACUGAAUGGGUCAUGGGUGUUAUUGAUUUUAAAUUGUUGCUUAUUCAUAAUUUAUUUUAGUGGUGUGGCAGUGAUACUAGUCUACUAGCAUGCCUAAUGCCUUUUUAGUUAUUUAAUUUGAUUAGAUGAUAUAAAACUAUAAUUGAUUUUAUACUUUUGGUACUUGCUAUUACAUUGGAUUGUUCAUGUUUAACUUGUUUCUUGAUAUUUUAUUAAUGCUUUAUAUUAUAUUUGAAAUCUUGAUGAGUACUGAGUAAUAGACUAGGCUAGUAGUUCUAUUCAAUAGUCUUAUUUUAUAUUUUAUUAAUAAUGUUUUAUUAUAUAUUUAUUGUUUAUAUUAUUCUAAAUAUGAAUGUUAAUCUAUGUACAUUAUAUUUAUAUGCAUAUAUCUAAAAUAUGUAAAAUUUUUAGCUUCUAUCACCUUUUUAAAAAAGGCAUCGCCUCUCGCCUCGGGCGAUAGGAGGCCUUGUCGCCUUUAUAUCGCCUCUCACCUUGAUAACACUGUGUAUUUUAAAAAUUUUCCUUAUUUUUUCAGUUUCAUAGUACUUGAAAACAAGCUCACUUCAACAUGUUUUCCAAUUUUCCAAUGAAGAAAGAGAAACCAAAAAUGGAGAAGAUAACAACAAGAUAAAGAAAAAGUAAAUUGUUUCAAUUACGUAUACAAAUUCUCGGUAUUUUGAUAAAAUAAAAUAAAAAAAAAGAAAUUAAGCAAGAUUCUUAAAUUCAUGUUCUUUAUCAUGAGAAGUAUCUCCCACUACCCAAAAUUUUUAUUUAUCUUUUUAAAAAUAUUUAAUUGUGCAUGAAUCUAUAUUCUAGACAUGAAAGAUAAACUAAAUUUGUAAACAAACAUUGUUCUUAUUCUACCAUUUUGUUGGCAAUGAAGCACAUAGCAUUUCAUAAGCAUGUAAUUACUAUGCUUGAAAUAAAACUUCCUAAGAGGAUUUGAUAGGAUCAAGGACAAUUGUUUUCCUAACCCAAAUUAGGCCCAAUUUUGCAAAAAUUAACUCAUCCAUGGAACAUCUACGUAAAAAAUUAUUUUUCCUGUCAUUGGGUGAAACACUAUAAAUUAGUAAGGAAAAAAAAUUUUUUGAUAAAAAAUAAUUUGCUUAACAAACAAACAAUUUGAACCUACACAAACUUCAUUUUUCUAUUCAUAAUUGAAUAGGUAAGAAAUUAUAUGAUAAAUUGUGAUUAUCAUCCAUCAUUCACAAACAAUUAUCACGCUCCAAUUAUUAGGUUUUAUAAUUGGACUAUAGUGUGAAAUUAUUUGUUAAUACUUUUGCCACUUUUUAUCAAUAAUGGAUUUACGUGCAAAACCUUAGGAACUUCUAAGUAAUUAUCUCCUUGCUGUCCACAACCCAAUUAGACGGUAAGUACAAAAAAGUACCAUGUGAUUUCACAAUUUUACAAUUAAGCCUCUUUUUUGCAGCAUUUUCAUUCUGUGGGAGUUUGUACUAUUAGCACUUAAGUGCAAAACAUACACUAUUAGUUCACGAUUGUGUUUGAUCAUAUUUUAGUUGCUACAAUGGAAG